CCAGCCAGCUAGCCAACCAACCAGCCAACCAACCAGCCAUCCAUCUAUCCAGUCAACUAUCCAGUUAACUAGACAGGCAGCAAACCAGUUAGCCUUUCAUCCAGUCUGCGAUUCGAAUUUUUCAAUCAACUAUUAAUGGAAUCUUAGUAUCUUAUAACUGGUAGUAAAAGUGCCUCAUUAUCAUGACAAUAUAAUGUCGACCUCAUUUUGAAGAUACUUCAACUAAUUAUAAGUGUUUUGUUAUCUUGGAAAAUUUUU